rnacentral:lncRNA from 1 species
UGACAUUUUCUCCAAAUCGGAUAGUGAAGUGUAAGUCGAGCUUCGCCGCAGGCAACCCUGGGUCUCCGCCUUCAGACUCAGGGUCCCUGAGUGGGGUGCGCUGCCCCGGCGCUGCUAACCCAGGGGACCGGGUGGGAUCCCCCCACACACCCCCACCCAGCCGAGCGCCGUGGGCCCGGCCGUUCCACCAAGUGAGGCCGAGGAGCCCACGUGUGAGGCCCACGCCCGUCUCGGGCCGGGGCACUGGUGCGCUCCGAGCACGACGGGUGGCCGGCCUCGCGGCGGGUUCAAGUGCACGCCCGGGGUUGGAGCCAGCGGCUCGGCGAGCGAGUUCUCUCCUGCUCGGCCCCCUCUCCGGAGUUCAGUGUGCCCCGCUGCUCCUGGGACCCCCUCUCCCAGCCCUCCCAGUCGCGAUGAGCCGCCGGCCUGGGGCGCGAACCCGGGCGCGCUCCUCCCCGGGCCCCAGCCCACGGCGCGGGCCCCUCAAGAGCAACGUGGAGGCUCCGCCUGGAAAAGAAGUCCGACUUCCUCUCCGCGCUGCUCUGGUGCGAUCUGGAAUCGGCAGGAAAUGGCUCGAACACCCGUCCCGCGCCUUUGCAGUCAGCCCUCGCUUUGCUGAAGGGAAGCAGCUCCCACCAAAGUCUUACCGCCCCCUCCCCCACGAAAGACCCGCGCAGGUCAGAGCCUACGAGAAAAGCCCGGAGCCAUCCACUCACCUGGGUGAGGCCAUAAAGAGUUAA